rnacentral:rRNA from 1 species
GAUGAACGCUGGCGGCGUGCCUAAUACAUGCGAGUCGAGCGAACAGACGAGGAGCUUGCUCCUCUGACGUUAGCGGCGGACGGGUGAGUAACACGUGGAUAACCUACCUAUAAGACUGGGAUAACUUCGGGAAACCGGAGCUAAUACCGGAUAAUAUAUUGAACCGCAUUGUUCAAUAGUGAAAGACGGUGUUGCUGUCACUUAUAGAGGGAUCCGCGCCGCAUUAGAUAGUUGGUAAGGUAACGGCUUACCAAGGCAACGAUGCGUAGCCGACCUGAGAGAGUGGUCGGCCACACUGGAGGUGAGACGGGGACCAGACGCCUACGGGAGGCAGCAGUAGGGAAUCGUCCGCAAUGGGCGAAAGCAUGACGGAGCAACGCCGCGUGAGUGAUGAAGGUCUUCGGAUCGUAAAACUCUGUUAUUAGGGAAGAACAAAUGUGGAAGUAACUAUGCACGGAUUGACGGUACCGAAUCAGAAAGCAACGGCUAACUACGUG